rnacentral:rRNA from 1 species
CAGCAGCCGCGGGAACACGGAGGGUGCAAGCGUUAUCCGGAUUUACUGGGUUUAAAGGGUGCGUAGGCGGACUUGUAAGUCCGAGGUGAAAUCUCUGAGCUUAACUCGGAAACUGCCUUGGAUACUAUAGGUCUUGAAUCUCGUUGAGGUUUGCGGAAUAUGUCAUGUAGCGGUGAAAUGCUUAGAUAUGACAUAGAACACCUAUUGCGAAGGCAGCAGGCUAAACGAGUAUUGACGCUGAUGCACGAAAGCGUGGGGAUCAAACAGGAUUAGAUACCCCCGUAGUCCCUGUCUCUUAUAC